GCAGGGGCGCGGGCGGUUCGGUCAUGGCGGUCUGCAGGUCUCGAGCCCUGCCGCGUGGGGAGGCGGCUGAGGCCCGGUGAGAAUUCAAGCCUGGCGCUGGAGGUCUGGUAGCGGUCGGGGACCCAGCGCAUACUCCGCUGCGGCUGGCCUGGGUGCCAAGCCCCUCAUUGCGGGCCGGCGGCUCUGAGUGCAGGCCCGCUGAGGCUGCGCCCACCUGGAACUCGCGCUGGCCCGCGAGCCGUGCCGCCCCGCCCGGCCCAGCCCGGGUUCCCGCCUGCGCCUCUACCUCCACACCUCCCUACAAGCGGAGGGAGCCGGCUCUGGCCUCGACCAGCCCAGAGACGGGCUGGGACAGUGCAGUGGCGGGCUGAAGGGCUCCGAGGCCGAGGAGGUGCUGAGAGUGAGUGAGGGCUGCUAGCACGUUGUCACCUCUCAGUAACUGGAACACAUUAUUACUCCAGGUUGUCAAUGUGAAAAGCCAAAGGUAAGCAUGCAAAUUCUGGACUGAACAGGAGAGUAAAUUUAAAGUUCGGCAUAGUGAGCAGCUACUGCGGAACAGAGUGUCCAACAGUCUUUGUCAUGUCACCAGGAUUAAAUGACACAAAUGGGGACUAGACAUCUCAGCCAUAUGCCUGGUCUUUCUCUUGGAAAAUUGUUUAAUUAUGAACCUAUACGAGGCAUACUCCAGUGCAACGGGAGAUGAAAAACAACAGGAGAUGAUAGAGCAAUGGAAGGCAUUACAGGUGUGCAUGAUUGAUUAUGUCAACAACAAAAGCAAAUUUGAAGAGGAAGACAAUUCCCCUGAGGCAGAAAGACAUGAGACCCGCUAUGCUAAAAAUUACAGAGAAAGAGAAAGAAGAAAAUGUGGGUAAGGAAUGCCAUUAAUUUCCUCUCUAAAUGAGUCAAGUAACAGGAGGAUUCCACCAGUGAGCUGCCUGAGCUCCUCAUUCUUUGCAUCACCUGCCAUCAGUGACAGGUUGUUUCCAAAGAACUGAUAGUCAUUUAACCCAGGAAGGUAAAGCCAACGUAAGAGACCUGGCAGCUAAAAUGGAAUAUCACCUUAACUGGCAGUUUCAAUAAAAGUGUAUGCCCUACAGAAAACAGAUUAAUUUAGCCUAAUCUCCUUUCCUUUUUCCAAUCUCCAAUAAUAGUGAAUAUACCAAGAGUGACAGUGGUGAAAUAUCCUCUAUUCCAGAUGAUAGAUAGAAAACACUGUGUUCAGAAGAAAGGAUGAUUUUUACUCCAUUAGAAUAGUGUUAAACCCACUUGACUCUAUCACAGUCUAAGUUUUUUUUUUUUUUAAUUUUCCUGUGGAAAUUAUCUUAGUAUAGUGUAAGUAUUAAAUGCGUGGUGAUUCCAGAACUUUAUUGGUUUAUGAACCUUAGAUUAAAUAUGUAAAAUGACUGUCUUCAUACAGUCAGCAAGAUUUCAGAGUUCAAACUGGAGGGGAUGCAUUUGACAUGCCUUUUGUGGGACCAAGUAGGAAUGCUUAGCAAACAUUAGGAUAUAGAUGUCUGAAACCCAGAAAACAGGCCUUGGCUGGAGAAGUACAGCUGGUGUUCAGCAUAUAGGCGGUGUGAUUAAUGUGGGAAUCCAUGAAGCUAGCUAAUGUGAGCAUGUGCAGAAAGAGACCUAGUUUGGGUCCUUAAGAUAAUUUUACUUGAAUAUUUUUAGUAAAUAAGAGAUUAUAGGAGAAUAUGGAAUCAUAAAAGAGGAGGAAACAGUGUUUUGUUAUCAAAAACUUGGUUCUCUUCGGUGAGUUUUGACUUUUAGGGAGUCAAGAAAGUUGAGCCUGUAAAACUAUUUACUGGAUUUUUCAGCCGGGGAUGACAGAGCUGCAGUUGUUUUACUUGAAUGAUGAAAUAUAAACCUGGUUAGAGUAUAUUAGUUUAUUAAUUUGUUAGUUAUUUUACCUGAUUUAAUUCAAGAGCUCUUGUGGAUUAAAUGAUUAUCAAGAAUUUUGUGGUAUAAAGCAAUAAUUUCUAGUGUUCAGUAGGACAGUAGGGUGACUGUAGUUAACAACAAUAUAUUGUAUAUUUCAAAAUUGAUACAAGAUUUUUAAUGUCCCCAAAGCAAAUAAAUGAUAAAUGUUUGAUGAGUAUCCUAAAUACCUUGAUGUGAUCAAUACACAUUGUAUGCAUGUAUAAGAAGACCACAUGUACCCCAUAAAUAUGUAUAAUCAUUAUGUGUCAAUAAAACAUUU